AUUGAACGCUGGCGGCAUGCUUUACACAUGCAAGUCGAACAGUAACAGGGUGCUUGCACCGCUGACGAGUGGCGAACGGGUGAGUAAUGCGUCGGAACGUGCCGAGUAGUGGGGGAUAACGCAGCGAAAGUUGUGCUAAUACCGCAUACGUACUGAGGUAGAAAGUGGGGGACCUUCGGGCCUCACGCUAUUCGAGCGGCCGCCGUCUGAUUAGCUAGUAGGUGAGGUAAAGGCUCACCUAGGCGACGAUCAGUAGCGGGUCUGAGAGGAUGAUCCGCCACACUGGGACUGAGACACGGCCCAGACUCCUACGGGAGGCAGCAGUGGGGAAUUUUGGACAAUGGGCGAAAGCCUGAUCCAGCCAUGCCGCGUGUCUGAAGAAGGCCUUCGGGUUGUAAAGGACUUUUGUCGGGGAGGAAAUCCCCAGCGUUAAUACCGCUGGGGGAUGACAGUACCUGAAGAAUAAGCACCGGCUAACUACGUGCCAACAGCCGCCGUAAAAC
rnacentral:rRNA from 1 species